GACGAACGCUGGCGGCGUGCUUAACACAUGCAAGUCGAACGGAAAGGCCCUGCUUUUGUGGGGUGCUCGAGUGGCGAACGGGUGAGUAACACGUGGGUAACCUGCCCUUGACUUUGGGAUAACUUCAGGAAACUGGGGCUAAUACCGGAUAGGAGCUCCUGCUGCAUGGUGGGGGUUGGAAAGUUUCGGCGGUUGGGGAUGGACUCGCGGCUUAUCAGCUUGUUGGUGGGGUAGUGGCUUACCAAGGCUUUGACGGGUAGCCGGCCUGAGAGGGUGACCGGCCACAUUGGGACUGAGAUACGGCCCGGACUCCUACGGGAGGCAGCAGUGGGGAAUAUUGCACAAUGGGCGGAAGCCUGAUGCAGCAACGCCGCGUGCGGGAUGACGGCCUUCGGGUUGUAAACCGCUUUCGCCUGUGACGAAGCGUGAGUGACGGUAAUGGGUAAAGAAGCACCGGCUAACUACGUG
rnacentral:rRNA from 1 species